rnacentral:rRNA from 1 species
UAAGCGGAGGAAAAGAAACCAACAGGGAUUGCCUUAGUAGCGGCGAGUGAAGCGGCAAAAGCUCAAAUUUGAAAUCUGGCUCUUUCAGAGUCCGAGUUGUAAUUUGAAGAAGGUAUCUUUGGGUCUGGCUCUUGUCUAUGUUUCUUGGAACAGAACGUCACAGAGGGUGAGAAUCCCGUGCGAUGAGAUGAUCCAGGCCUAUGUAAAGUUCCUUCGAAGAGUCGAGUUGUUUGGGAAUGCAGCUCUAAGUGGGUGGUAAAUUCCAUCUAAAGCUAAAUAUUGGCGAGAGACCGAUAGCGAACAAGUACAGUGAUGGAAAGAUGAAAAGAACUUUGAAAAGAGAGUGAAAAAGUACGUGAAAUUGUUGAAAGGGAAGGGCUUGAGAUCAGACUUGGUAUUUUGUAUGUUACUUCUUCGGGGGUGGCCUCUACAGUUUAUCGGGCCAGCAUCAGUUUGGGCGGUAGGAGAAUUGCGUUGGAAUGUGGCACGGCUUCGGUUGUGUGUUAUAGCCUUCGUCGAUACUGCCAGCCUAGACUGAGGACUGCGGUUUAUACCUAGGAUGUUGGCAUAAUGAUCUUAAGUCGCCCGUCUUG